GUAGGCAUAGUUUAACAAAAAUGCUAGAUUGUGAUUCUAGAGCUAGAGGUUAAAUCCCUCUUGCCCACC
rnacentral:tRNA from 1 species